rnacentral:rRNA from 1 species
GGUCAAGUUAUUAAGGGUGCAGGGCGGAUGCCUUGGCACUAGGAGCCGAUGAAGGACGUGAUAAGCUGCGAUAAGCUUCGGGGAGUUGCACGUAAACUUUGAUCCGAAGAUUUCCGAAUGAGGAAACUCACUUAGAGUAAUGUCUAAGUAUCAUUAAGUGAAUACAUAGCUUAAUGAGGGGAACUCAGGGAACUGAAACAUCUAAGUACCUGAAGGAAGAGAAAGAAAUUCGAUUCCGUAAGUAGCGGCGAGCGAACGCGGAUUAGCCCAAACCAAUAAAGUUUUCUUUAUUGGGGUUGCGGACAUAUCAUAACGAAGAGGUAUCGUAAUUGAAGAGGUUUGGAAAGACCCACCACAGAAGGUAAUAGUCCUGUAUGUUAAACGAGAAGACUUUAGAUAUGA